rnacentral:rRNA from 1 species
CCCUGCCAUUUGUACACACCGCCCGUCGCACCUACCGAUUGAAUGGUUCGGUGAAACUUUCGGACCGUGGACAGGACGCUCUCGGGCGACUUGACCGUGGGAAGUUAUUUAAACCUCAUCAUUUAGAGGAAGGU